ACCUGCAUUAACAUAGAAUUUUUAAUCUUUUUAAUCAACAACAGUAGAAUCUAAGGCCUUGCCUUCAAAUUGGAUCUUUCAUAUGUCUUCACAAAAGAGAAAACCCUGAGCUAUCUAUCUCUUUUUGUUAUAUCUCAUACCUAAGAUCCAUUUUUUAAGUUAUGAUGAUUUAAGUUAAAACAAAAGAUUUAGGCAUGUCAAAUUCAUUUUUGAGAUUUACAGAUUAAAAGAUGUAUGAAUGCUAAACAAUAACAAGACUAGAAAUCCGCUGCUGAUUGUUUUUCAUAUUAUCAAUAUCUGAAUUCUUGUACCAAAAGAAAUUCAUAGAAAGAUUUCAAUAUCUGAUUGUUUUUCACAUUACCAUGGCAGAGAAAAGCUGUCCUCCUAGCCAGGCACCACCUCCGGGGCUAACAGAUUGCUCAACAAUAGCAACCUGUACGGACGGGUUCUUGCUAAGCUCAUAGGCACAAGACAGCCCUGCGGAGCCCGCACCAACCACCACCACAUCAGUGUCAGCGUGGGUGAUCAUGUCCAUCAUGUACCUACGUGUCAUCUCACGUGACACGAUGGAUUCCUUGAUGGGGUCAAACCUGAAAUUGUUCAGGUCAUACGGUGGAGGUGAUGAGGCUGCAGACAUGGAAACUGAUGCAUUGCGUGGAGAGGACUUUGCCUUGAGAUGGAAAGAAAGUGGCGUUAUGGGAACCCCAUGGAAGGAAGACUCAAAGAGGGAAGUGUUUCUGUAAAGUUUGGUAGAGGAAGUGAGAGUAGUAGCUACGGAUGAUGCCAUUACUGCCUGAGAAAAAUCAAGA
rnacentral:lncRNA from 1 species